UACAGAGGGUGCAAGCGUUAAUCGGAAUUACUGGGCGUAAAGCGUGUGUAGGUGGUUUGCUAAGUCAGGUGUGAAAUCCCUGGGCUCAACCUAGGAAUUGCAUUUGAUACUGGCAGACUAGAGUGCGGUAGAGGAUGGUGGAAUUCCCGGUGUAGCGGUGAAAUGCGUAGAGAUCGUAAGGAAGACCAGUGGCGAAGGCGAGUUUCUGGACGGUAACUGACGCUGAGGCACGAAGGCCAGGGGAGCAAACGGG
rnacentral:rRNA from 1 species